rnacentral:rRNA from 1 species
CUAGGCUUCGGCUUAGGGGACAGCGGCGAACGGGUGAGUAACACGUGGGUAAUCUGCCCUCGACAUCGGGAUAGCCCGGGGAAACUCGGAUUAAUACCGAAUAGCCCAUCCGCUUUUCGGAGCGGCUGGAAAAGGUAGCUUUGGCCUCCGGUCGAGGAGGAGCCCGCGGCGGAUUAGCUUGUUGGUGAGGUAACGGCCCACCAAGGCGACGAUCCGUAGCUGGUCUGAGAGGACGAUCAGCCACACUGGGACUGAGACACGGCCCAGACUCCUACGGGAGGCAGCAGUGGGGAAUCUUGCGCAAUGGGCGAAAGCCUGACGCAGCGACGCCGCGUGCGGGAAGAAGGCCUUCGGGUUGUAAACCGCUUUCAGGAGGGACGAAGCCACUCAGGUUAAUAGCCGAGAGGGUGACGGUACCUCCAGAAGAAGCCCCGGCUAACUACGUGCCAGCAGCCGCGGUAAUACGUAGGGGGCAAGCGUUGUCCGGAUUUAUUGGGCGUAAAGAGCGUGUAGGCGGCCAGAUAGGUCUGCUGUGAAAACUCGAGGCUCAACCUCGAGCUGUCGGCGGAAACCAUUUGGCUAGAGUCCGGAAGAGGAAAGCGGAAUUCCUGGUGUAGCGGUGAAAUGCGCAGAUAUCAGGAAGAACACCCGUGGCGAGGCGGC